rnacentral:rRNA from 1 species
UGCAAGUCGAGGGGUAGAGGCCUUCGGGCCUUGAGACCGGCGCACGGGUGCGUAACGCGUAUGCAAUCUGCCUUCCACAGAGGGAUAGCCCAGAGAAAUUUGGAUUAAUACCUCAUAGCAUCAUGACCCGGCAUCGGGAUAUGAUUAAAGUCACAACGGUGGAAGAUGAGCAUGCGUCCCAUUAGCUAGUUGGUAAGGUAACGGCUUACCAAGGCUACGAUGGGUAGGGGUCCUGAGAGGGAGAUCCCCCACACUGGUACUGAGACACGGACCAGACUCCUACGGGAGGCAGCAGUGAGGAAUAUUGGUCAAUGGGCGCAAGCCUGAACCAGCCAUGCCGCGUGCAGGAUGACGGUCCUAUGGAUUGUAAACUGCUUUUGUACGGGAAGAAACCCUCCUACGUGUAGGAGCUUGACGGUACCGUAAGAAUAAGGAUCGGCUAACUCCGUGCCAGCAGCCGCGGUAAUACGGAGGAUCCAAGCGUUAUCCGGAAUCAUUGGGUUUAAAGGGUCUGUAGGCGGUCUUG